rnacentral:rRNA from 1 species
GACGGAUACCUGCCCGAUGACAUGUUCAGCGGACGCGGCAUCCUAACCGUGCCAAGGUAACAUAAUCACUUGCCUAUUAAUUGUAGGCUAGAACGAAAGGGUUAACGAAAUAAGGACUGUCUCAAUUAACCACCUAAAAAUUAUUCUCUACCUGAAGAAACGUAGAUGCACUCGAAAGACAAGAAGACCCUAUAAAGCUUUAUUCUUAUUAUUGGAUUAUACUAUCACUAUCUUCGGUUGGGGCGACCCAGGGCUUAUAAAUCACCCACCGCGCUUAAGAUAAAUAAAUCAAGUAAAUGACCCUACAAAGAUCAUUAAACCAAGCUACCUUAGGGAUAACAGGCUAAUCCCACUCAAGAGUCCUUAUCAACAGUGGGGUUUGGCACCUCGAUGUUGGCUUAGGGUAUCUAUACAGCGCAAAAGCUGAAUAAAGAUGGUUUGUUCAACCAAUAAUUCCCUACGUU